UGUGAUGUGACCUUUUUCUUUGGUGAAAGACUUGUAAAUAAAGACAGUAUACGAAGCCAUGAACUCGUGAAAAGAAAUUAUUGUUUAUGUCUUGCCAUUCAUGCUCCUCGAAAGGGCAAUGUUGAGAUUUGGCAGAUGAGAAUGAGGCCUAGGAUUCUAAUCCCGUGCCCGAAAGGAAGCAAAAUACUGCAACCCACUUAUAGAUUUGGAUCGUCAACGCUUUCGGAAUCCUCUUAUAAACUGUUGGAAGUUUUCUUUUUGAAUGGAGAUUCUGGUAAACUUUCAAGAUUAAAUUGAUUGUUGUUUUUCUUUUAUUUGUGUAGGGUUUCUUGUGUUUACGGUGGUAAAUUAGAAGGGGUUGUUUAGGGUUUUCUUAUUUAUCAAAAUGGAGUUUAGGAAAAUGUGUUUGUAUUAGGUUAUGGGCUACUAAAACAUAAUAAGUUUGAUAAUUUUUUUUUGGCAUUUGAUAAAAA